GUUUUGCCUUUGAGUGGUCACCACUCUUCCCUGUCUUUUGGCAAGUGUCAUACGUCUUGCAGUAAUAUUGCAGGUCCCAUGUGAUCCCUGGCCAGAAGUAGGUCUGGAUGAGCCAGUCCAGUUAGGGAAAUGUCGUGGCUGAGCUUGAGUAGAUCAGCUGUAUAUUUACGGGGCACUACCAACUGCCUUUUGGGUAUCUGCGCAGCCCCCUUCCC